rnacentral:rRNA from 1 species
GUUAGGAAUAUUGGUCAAUGGGCGAAAGCCUGAUCCAGCCAUGCCGCGUGAACGAUGAAGGCCUUCGGGUUGUAAAGUUCUUUAGCCGAUGAUUAUAAUGACUGUAGUCGGAAAAUAAGCCCCGGCUAACUUCGUGCCAGCAGCCGCGGUAAUACGAAGGGGGCGAGCGUUAUUCGGAAUCACUGGGCGUAAAGCGUGCGUAGGCGGUUUUGUAAGUUAGGAGUGAAAGCCCAGGGCUCAACCUUGGAAUUGAUCUUAAAACUGCAAGGCUCAGCUCUCGGAGAAGAUAGCGGAAUUUCCAGUGUAGCAGUGAAAUGCGUAGAUAUUGGAAAGAACACCAGUGGCGUAAGCGGCUAUCUGGACGAGUAUUGACGCUGAGGCACGAAAGCGUGGGGAUCAAACAGGAUUAGAAACCCUUGUAGUCC